GUGCUCUCUUUGGCAUCACAUAUACUAAAAUUGGAAUGAUACAGAUAUUAGCAUGGCCCCUGCGCAAGGCUGACAUGCAAAUUCCUGAAGCGUUUCAUAUUAAA